GCACGGCUCGCAACGAGUGAGACACAGGAUAGCUUGCUACAUCGGUGUGACGAGUGUGCGGACGGGUGAGUAAUGUGCAUUGGGAAACUGCCUUGAUGCGAGGGGGAUAACUACUGGACAACGGUAGUCUAAGUACCGCAUAACGUCGCAAGACCAAAGAGGGGGACCUUCGGGCCUCUUGCCAUCUAGAUGUGCCCUAGAUGGGAUUAGCUAGUAGGUGGUGGUAACGGCUCACCGUAGGCGACGAUCCCUAGACUGGUCUGAUGAGGAUGACCAUGCCACACUGAGACACUGAGACACGGUCCAGACUCCUACGGGCAGUGCAGCAGUGCAGACUGCCCACGUUCCGUUUUUGAGCCCAAAGCCCGAA
rnacentral:rRNA from 1 species